rnacentral:rRNA from 1 species
GAUCAUGGCUCAGGAUGAACGCUGGCGGCGUGCUUAACACAUGCAAGUCGAACGAAGCAACUAUCUUGCUUGCAAGAAGUUGACUAGUGGCGGACGGGUGAGUAACGCGUGGGUAACCUGCCUCAUACAGGGGGAUAACAGUUGGAAACGACUGCUAAGACCGCAUAACCCGCUAGUGUCGCAUGACACGGACGGAAAAUAUUUAUAGGUAUGAGAUGGGCCCGCGUCUGAUUAGCUAGUUGGUAAGGUAACGGCUUACCAAGGCGACGAUCAGUAGCCGACUUGAGAGAGUGAUCGGCCACAUUGGGACUGAGACACGGCCCAAACUCCUACGGGAGGCAGCAGUGGGGAAUAUUGGACAAUGGGGGAAACCCUGAUCCAGCGACGCCCGCGUGAGUGAAGAAGUAUUUCGGUAUGUAAAGCUCUAUCAGCAGGGAAGAUAAUGACAGUACCUGACUAAGAAGCCCCGGCUAACUACGUGCCAGCAGCAGC